rnacentral:rRNA from 1 species
AUGAAACUACUCAUGUACCUCAUCUCAGCUGUUUUCGCGCCGACCACUUCUCUUCGCCCAAGCAACAAAUGCUUCCCCAUCCUGGUGAAUCUGAAAGAUGUGAAGAACAUGAAUUGGUGUAAGUUCAUUGCCGACUUCCUGCAUGAUGCAUUCUCAAGCAAGAUGUACCAGAAGGUUUGUCGACUGCAUUUAUUGCUCAUGUACGUCGACUGUCUUGAUCUGUCCAUCGUGGAUUUCACUGGGACAGGAGGCCCGCCGCCUAUGCACAAGUUUGUUGUUUCUGCGUGGACUAUCGAUGCUAUCAAGGCUGUGCUUGCUGCAGACAGGAUAACUGAUACCAAAUAUGGAAAACUGCAGCUGAUGGCCAAGCAUGCUAUAGACUACAGCGUGUUUGGGGGGCCUCAAAACUUUGGAAAGUGGAUGGAUGUGCACUCAGCUCCGUCUUGCCCUACUGAGGGCACCUGUUGA